AGUGAACGCUGGCGGUAGGCCUAACACAUGCAAGUCGAACGGCAGCACAAGGGAGCUUGCUCCCUGGGUGGCGAGUGGCGGACGGGUGAGGAAUACAUCGGAAUCUACCUUGUCGUGGGGGAUAACCUCGGGAAACCGGGACUAAUACCGCAUACGACCUUCGGUGAAAGUAGGGAUCGCAAGACCUUACGCGAUUGGAU
rnacentral:rRNA from 1 species